rnacentral:siRNA from 1 species
AUUGAAAAGGGGUAGUGUGGAA